rnacentral:tRNA from 1 species
AAGGUGGCUCAGUGGUAGAGUGCUUGCCUUGCAUGCAUGAGGCAGUGGGUUUGAUUCCUCAGCACCUUA